ACAAAUAGACGUAAACCGUCAGGAGCAUUAUGCAGAUUAGGAAGUAAAAAUUCAAAGACAGUGCUUAAUACUUAAGGCUACAUUCGUCUGAUAUGGAUCAAAUUUAGAACACAAAACUAUUAAAGUUGGUGUGACAUCUAAAGAAAAUGGGGAACUACUUUGGAAGUCAAAUCGAGACAAAUCCCGUAGAUGUACGAAACAAAGAAAUUAUAGAAGCUAGGGAGCGUUAUCUCCAGGAACAGUUUGAGAGAAAUGAGGAAAAGGCGGAAAAUGAUGAUGAUUCUACCGAUUCUACCAGAGAGCCAGCCAUAUCCAAUUUCGAUCGAAAUACGGACAGAAAGCCAUCCGUUCUAUGUGGAAUAGAAUUGAAAGUCAUGAGUAUUGAUCCGAAAGACCAUAGCUACCCAUUCGAGAACCUUGUCUUUGAAGGAGGUGGUAGCAAGGGUCAUGCGUACGCGGGAGCUAUAAAGGCUUUGGAAGAACUUGGACUAAUCAAUCAGAUCAAGCGGUAUGCCGGAGCAAGUGCAGGCGCAAUGACAGCUGCCCUUUUGGCCGUGGGAUACAAUUCAAAAGAUCUCCAAGACUUCUUAACUCAAGACCUGUCUCUAAUUUUAUAAGAUUCCAGGUUUGGAAGACUCAGUUAUCUGCCAAAUCUUCUGUCGGGAUACGGCUGUAAUCCUGCUAAAAAAUUCUACAAGUGGUUCGGGGAACUGUUGGAAAAAAAGAUGGGAAACAUAGACGUUACCUUUGAAGAGCAUUUUAAAAAGACUGGAAUAGAGUUGUGUGUUAUCGUGACUAAUGUAAACCGUAUGAAAGAAGAAUAUUGUCACGUGAAGACUACACCUGAUAUGCCCAUAAGAUUAGCCGUACGGAUGUCUAUGUCAUUGCCAGGACUUUUCCAAGCAACAAAUUACAAAUCGUACGGAGAAACAAACUUGUAUGUUGAUGGGGGAGUACUUUGUAACUAUCCAAUUCACUGCUUUGACGGAUGGUGGCUCUCCAUGGAUUCAAAAGAUAGUUUUUUAGAAAAACUUCAGCCAUUACACGAUCUUCCGAACGUGUUAGACAAGCGACACAGAUUUGCUCGGGACUAUAAAGAUCCAGAAAAAACGUUGGGCUUUAUACUGUACGCUGACGCUGAAACUGACUUGUUCCGAUACAUCUGUGAGAAACGAUUAGGAGUUGAGCUUGAUCCAACCCCCAAUACUAAACUAGGAAGAGAAAAAAUGAAACUACAAAGAGACCAAGAAAUAGCUAAGCGAGAACACAGACGAGUUAUUAUGGCAGUUGCGGAAUUUAUGAAAGUUUUGAGGAAACACGAGCUACAUAAAAACCAUACAAUAAGUCGGAAGGUAUUAAAGGAAGCAUUCGAAUGUGAGGAAUUUUCUACAAAGAGCAGUGAAUUGCUUUUUGGAAAAGACUGUACAGUGGAGGAUGCCUUUAAAAUUCUGGACAGCAAUAAAAAUGGCGAGAUAAACUUCCAGGAGUUAAUAAACUUUAUAGAAGGAGCAGGUGUAAAUUUACAGCAACGUUUUCUUGGCUACCAGAGAAAAGACAUUGAUGGACUUUUCAAUUACGCUUUAACGCUUGAAAACGCUAUCAUGACGAACGUACAACGGGCAUUUGUCGAUCGCCAAGAUGUGGAUAGAACUGUGGGCAUUAAUACUGGACACGUGGGCACAUCUGAUUUUACAUUGGAAGAUGGAGAUAGGAGCUUCGCUGUUGCUCAAGGUUACAAAUCGACCUUGGUUUUUUUGAAAUACUUUGUCGCCAAGAAACUUCUGAAGGAUGUUGAAUCACUUCCGGAAAGUAACAGUUCCAUGUAAAGCAGUUUUAGGAAUGACGCUAGAGAAGAAUAUGAAAAUGAUGACGCGUCGCACAAAGUAACGUCUCUAGGGGAAUGAUGAAUUAGACGCCAGAGUCGGCGCCCUUGCCAAGACUAGCAAUAUAAAUCCUGAUAGUAUGUACCGUAAGGAAGAAUUUGUUUGACGGACUGAUUUCUUUUCUAGAAUGUAUAUUUUUGAAGCUUUGGUAUACAUGUAGGAUGACGUUUUUAUGUAAUAAGUUCAUUUUUUUCUGAAAAUGAUGAAUAAAGAAUUAUUUCGUACAAUU
rnacentral:misc_RNA from 1 species